rnacentral:rRNA from 1 species
AUGAGAGGCCUCAGAUCGCGGAUCCUCCGGACCUUGCAGUCCUUCCCCAACGCCGCCGCCGCGCAGUCCAACGCCCUCCUCCCGCCGCCCGACGCCGCCGCACCCGCGCCGUCGGAGGACGUGCCCGAGCCGGCCGAUGGCGACUGCCGGGGCGGCGGCGGCGGCGACGACGACAAGGAGAACUUCUCGCCGAAGGCCAAGAAGAUGAAGGUGGGCUCCGGCCGCGAGGGUGACUGUCCCGGGGAGCCUGGCAGGGGCUACCGCCGGCCCGAGCUCGAGUCGCCGAGCCUCUUCGACCCGGACCUCCUCGCCGCCUUCCGCGGCGUCGUGGACGCGUACGCCCAGGCGCUGGAGAAGACCCAGCGCCACGGUGACGACUUCGACGACGCGGACGACGACAUCGCCGCCGCGCUGGACGCCGGCGGCCGCGACGAGGACCCCCUGGCCGGGCUCGAGAGCCGGUGCCCGCCCGGCGGGGCGCGCGCCGUGGUGCUCUACACCACGUCGCUGCGCGGGGUGCGCAAGACGUUCGAGGACUGCGCCACCGUGCGCCGCCUGCUCGACGGGCUCCGCGUCGCCUUCCUGGAGCGCGACGUGUCCAUGCACGCGCCCUACCGGGACGAGCUCCGCGCGCUGCUGCCGCCUCCGCCCGGUGGCGCCGGCGACGGCGCCAGCAUGCCCCUGCCGCCGCGGCUGUUCGUGGACGGGCGGUACGUGGGCGGCGCGGACGAGGUGGUGGCGCUGCACGAGCGGUCGCGGCUCCGGCCGAUGCUCCGGCGCGCCGCGCGCCGGCGCGCGGGCGACGCGGCCUGCGCGGUGUGCGGCGGCGCCUGGUUCGUCGUGUGCGGCGGGUGCAGCGGCCGUCAUUGGCUCUAUGACGACGGCUCGGCCGCCGCCGUCGCCGCCAGCCGCGUGCCGUGCCCCGGAUGCAACGAGAACGGGCUGGUGCCGUGCCCCCUGUGCAGCUGA